rnacentral:rRNA from 1 species
UACGGAGGGGGCUAGCGUUGUUCGGAAUUGCUGGGCGUAAAGCGCACGUAGGCGGCUUUGUAAGUUAGAGGUGAAAGCCCAGGGCUUAACUCUGGAAUUGCCUUUAAGACUGCAUCGCUAGAAUCGUGGAGAGGUGAGUGGAAUUCCGAGUGUAGAGGUGAAAUUCGUAGAUAUUCGGAAGAACACCAGUGGCGAAGGCGACUCACUGGACACGUAUUGACGCUGAGGUGCGAAAGCGUGGGGAGCAAACAGG